GCCGACUGAAGAGCACCUGCCGCCCUGACACCCACUGAGCGGAUCCUUCCGACGUCGCGCCCCCACCUUCCUCCUCCACGCUCUUCCUGCAUUCCAAUUCGGGCCGGUUUGUGAGUGACCGACUGCGAGAUGUGACGGCCACCUGUUGCCCCUGUUGCCCUGGCCACAGACAGUACCUGAUAGUACUACUGAUAGUACCUAUGAAAGAGCACUACAGACAGUACCUAUGACAGAGCACCACAGACAGUAUCUACAUCAGAGAGCCAUAGACAGUACCUACACAGACAGUACCUACAU